rnacentral:rRNA from 1 species
GUAGGUGGCAAGCGUUGUCCGGAAUUAUUGGGCGUAAAGCGCGCGCAGGCGGUCCUUUAAGUCUGAUGUGAAAGCCCACGGGCUCAACCGUGGAGGGUCAUUGGAAACUGGGGGACUUGAGUACAGAAGAGGAAAGCGGAAUUCCAAGUGUAGCGGUGAAAUGCGUAGAGAUUUGGAGGAACACCAGUGGCGAAGGCGGCUUUCUGGUCUGCAACUGACGCUGAGGCGCGAAAGCGUGGGGAGCAAACAGGAUUAGAUACCCUGGUAGUCCACGCCGUAAACGAUGAGUGCUAAGUGUUAGGGGGUUUCCGCCCCUUAGUGCUGCAGCUAACGCAUUAAGCACUCCGCCUGGGGAGUACGGCCGCAAAGGCUG